UAAUAGCUGGCAUGGGUAAGGUUGUGGAUAAGGUUGGAAGUUGUGAAUGAGAACAACCCCAAAUUCCUUUAUCUAUACCGAGAGGUGCACAGAGGGGGGGGGUAAACUUUUGUUUACCCUAUUCUGUUUCAACUGCGUGAAACGCAUAAUUUGAGAAACGCAUAUGACACCGGCUUUCAAAUAGUGAUAGAAUACUCCAGACUUUGGCUUUUUCAAUUGACUAUGCUUUAAGACGACCGCCUUCUUUUGUCAAGCCGUGCUUUAAGUAAGAAAAGAAACUCUGCAGCUUUCAAGAUUUUGGUUCGUUUCUUGCUUUGGGGGCUGUCAGCUUCAGAAACUGAGUGAACAUAUCCAUACAGUUGUAGCACUGACGCUAUUUGCAACAUUGCCAACAUGAAAAGUUUUAGCCUUCUCCUGUUCCUGGCAAUUGGAAUUUUGGCCGUUUACGGAGAAACAGUUGAAAGUGAUCCAAUAGAUGACUUCGAUUCAGAUCCAGAAGCUUUGGACGAAGAGGCAUUGGAGGAUUCAGAAAACGAUGCAUUGGAAGAAAACGCUGAAGGUGACCCUGUGAUCCUAAAUCGUACAACUGUAAAGACUGUGAAACAUGCAGAAUCCACAAGAGUUACUGUAAGCUUGUUCGGUGCCCACCUUCGGUGAGAGCGGCGAUGUUUCGAUUCUGUCUCUUUUGCAAUUACUGCAACUAUCUCUUUAAACACAACUUGGUCACAAGAUUUUCUAGAAAAUGGGGCUAGCCCGUGUAUUUAAAUAAUUCCACCGGACAAUUUCAAAUCUUCUUUUCUGCACAUUUUUGUACGGUUUAUAUCUAAAGUGCUAUUUUUGCAAACAA